rnacentral:lncRNA from 1 species
UAAUGGAAAUGAUAUUACAUAGGAUGCAUAGGAAAAAAACCCUAAUGUCAGUUAAAUGCGUAUAUAAGUAUGUACAACAUCCCCAUGGAAAACACUAAUUAAAAGAAAUUUAAAUGGGAGGAAAAUAUCAAAUACCCACUGGUAUCUUGAACCAGCCCAAGCAGGGUGGUAAGGUCACCAGGCAUGGGGGCAGCUUGGCUUGAGGUUUCCUGGCAGGAUAAAGAGGGCCUCUAGGCAGGAGAGACCCAGAAGCAGUCAUGGGAGGCUCAUUACAAACAAGGGGCUUGAUAAAAAAGUAAAGAUCUCAAGAAAAAGGGAAGUCAAGAUUUUUACUGUCUAAUAGAAAGGGAGAAAACUACAAUGAAUGCUACGAUGUUAGAUUAGAAUGGGUUGUAUCUAUGUGAACUCAUGGUUUUCAGUAAAUAUAAUAUUAAAUCAAUAAGAUAAAUAUAGCACUA